GGAGGCGCCCAAAGGUUCCCUCAGAAUGGUUGGAAAUCAUUCGCAGAGUGUAAAGGCACAAGGGAGCUUGACUGCGAGACAGACAGGUCGAGCAGGGACGAAAGUCGGGCUUAGUGAUCCGGUGGUACCGUAUGGAAGGGCCAUCGCUCAACGGAUAAAAGCUACCCUGGGGAUAACAGGCUUAUCUCCCCCAAGAGUCCACAUCGACGGGGAGGUUUGGCACCUCGAUGUCGGCUCAUCGCAUCCUGGGGCUGUAGUCGGUCCCAAGGGUUGGGCUGUUCGCCCAUUAAAGCGGUACGCGAGCUGGGUUCAGAACGUCGUGAGACAGUUCGGUCCCUAUCCGUCGCGGGCGUAGGAAAUUUGAGAGGACCUGUCCUUAGUACGAGAGGACCGGGAUGGACAUACCUCUGGUGUACCAGUUGUGCCGCCAGGCGCAUCGCUGGGUAGCUACGUAUGGAUGUGAUAAACGCUGAAAGCAUCUAAGUGUGAAACACACCUCGAGAUGAGAUUUCCCAUUCCUUUAUGGAAGUAAGACCCCUGAAAGAUGAUCAGGUAGAUAGGUUAGAAGUGGCAGUGCGGUGACGCAUGAAGCGGACUAAUACUAAUCGGUCGAGGACUUAACCAAG
rnacentral:rRNA from 2 species